rnacentral:rRNA from 1 species
AUGGAACCUCUGAGUGAUCUUCACUCUAAGAAGUUGUUUUUCAAUAGGAUCUUCGGCUCUGAGGAUUGCUGCCCUGAUAUAUUGAAAGAUGUUUCCGAUGCAAUCUUGAGAAAAUGUGGAGGUCUACCAUUGGCAAUAAUAAGUAUAUCUGGUUUGUUGGCAAGUAGACCAGCUGUAAGAAAUGAACGGGAGAAGAUUCGGAAGUCGAUUGGUUUUGCACUUGAUAAAAGUCAAAGUCUAGAGGGCAUGAAGAGCAUACUAUCCCUUAGCUACAGUUCUCUUACACCUAAUCUCAAGACAUGUUUGUUGUACUUUAGUAAUUUUCCUGAGGAUUACAAGAUUGAGAGAGAUACAUUGGUUAGGCGGUGGAUAGCGGAAGGCUUUAUUUCUGAAGAGCGUGGGCAGAGCCGACAAGAGGUUGCAGAGAACAAUUUUUAUGAGCUUAUCAACAAAAGCAUAGUCCAACCAAUGGACAUUGGUUAUGAUGGUAAGGCUCGUGCAUGUCGAGUCCAUGACUUGAUGCUUGAGUUUGCUAUUUCAAAGGCGGCUGAAGAGAAUUUCAUCACCGUGCUAGGUGGCCAAAUGGUGUUACCAAAUUCCAAUUGUUAUAUUCGACGACUAUCAGUCCAGCACAUUAACUCGGAGCUUGCAUCGACAUUGGCAAGUAAAGAACUCCACCAUGUUCGGUCUCUUACUGUUUCAGGCUGCAUCAAGCAAAUGCCUAACCUUGUUGAGUUUGAAAGUUUGCGUGUAUUGGAUUUUGAAGGUUGUGAGGGUUUGAAGGAGUAUGAUUUGAACAAUAUCAACAAACUUUUCAAACUAAAGUACCUUAGCCUUCGAAGUACACAUAUCAAAUGACCAUCAGGAGUUGUAACGCUGCAUGAUCUGGUGACACUAGAUCUUAGGGAUACAUAUAUCCAAGAGUUGCCUGCUGGAAUCGUUCAGCUCAGUAAACUACAAUAUCUUCUCACUGCAAGGGAAACAACGAUACCAAGUGGGAUUGGAAAGAUGAAGAGCUUAUGUGAGAUCUCAGGCUUUAAUAUAACAACGAGUUCAGUUGGAGCAGUGGAGGAGCUCGAGAACUUGACCAAUUUGACUGAACUCCAUGUGGUGUUCAACGGUGGAGGAUCUGACAAGUACAAGAGGCAUGAAGAGAUGUUGUUUUCCUCACUAUGCAAGCUUGGCAGGUAUAGUCUCCAGUCCUUUAGGAUACAAAGUAAAGAUUCAACUCCCCUUGACUUCUUAGAUUCAUGGUGCCCUCUGCCAUCGUCGCUACAAUUGUUCAUUAUGAGUGCCAUCUAUUAUUUGCCAAAACCUCCAAAGUGGCUUGCACCAACAGUGACCAGCCUUACACAUCUCAACAUCAAUCUGAGUGAAAUAACGGAGGAGGAUAUCAACAUACUUGGAAGGAUGCCUGCUUUGAUUUCAUUGGAGUUAUGGUUUAAGACUGUUCGAAAAGAAAGGCUUAUUGUACAAGGCAAUGGAUUCCGCAGCUUGAAGGAAUUCUACUUUAUUCAUAGUGCAAGAUACCUUCUGUUUGAGGAAGGGGCAUUGCCAAAGGUUGAGAAGCUUCAGGUGCCAUUCUAUGUGUCAGUAGCAGAAGCCUAUGGCUUAUACUUAGGUAUUGAGCACCUCCCAUGUCUAAAAGAUGCAGAAGUUAGUAUUUACAACGAGGGGGCCACGGCUUCUGAAAGCAAGGUUGCAGUAGUUUCCAUAAGGAAUGAGGCAAAUACCCAUCCCAACCAUCCUAGAGUAACUAUCUUCGGACAAGAGAAAAUUUCAUUUCAUUUUCCGUGA